rnacentral:rRNA from 1 species
AUGGUUGAACUUGAAAGGCAUGUCAUGUUUCCUGCUGUUUAUCGCCUCAUUGAGUUGGCAUUGCUACUACCAGUAGCGACAGCAACAGUUGAAAGAGCCUUCUCAUCAAUGAAAAUCAUCAAAAUUGACUUGCGUAGCAAGAUGGCUGAUGGCUGGCUUAAUGACUUGAUGGUGUGUUACAUUGAGCAAGAGAUCUUCAAGAGUAUUGAUCUCGGUAAAAUUAAGGAAGAUUUUCAGGAGGGUAGGGCACUGCCAUUGCCUGGGUCUUGUACACGCCAUUAA